CGGGAGAAUGGCAAAGCAAACAGGGACCUCGCCCUCCAAAAUAGGCACUCAGAAGGACCGAAGCCGUUCUCCCAGCCCUCGGAGCUGCUGCAGCCCCGGGGUGUGCUGCUCUCCGUGCUGCCAAAUGAGCAAAUCGUGACCGUCCCUCUUCCUGAGGAUAUCAGGACAGCAGGUUAAGUGACAGAGCCGUUCGGAGCGGUGGCUCUCACUCAGAAAGCAGCUGCACCUUUUUCAUUUCGGAGGGGCUGAUGCUUUUAGCAGCAGUGAUCACGGGCCAGUGAAAGUCUGGGAGUAGCUAUUGUUUGCAGAUGCAGGAGAGAAUGUUUGCUAAACACUUUAUGAAUCAGUGUUUAAAUGGAUUGAAAC